GCGGCGGAGGGAGGGCGAGCGGGAGCGCGCAGCCCGGCGUCUCGGCCCGCGCGGCUUCCUGCCUGCGCCCGGCGCUGCUCCUUUUUGCAAAGUUCUGGAGGUCAGAAUUUCAAGAUGUGUCUCCAUGGGCUAAAGUCAGCAUCAACAGGGCUGUGUUCCUUCUGGAAGCUCUAAAGUCUGCACUUCAGACAUCUGUGGUAAACCCAGAUUGCAACUCUUUCCUAAAAGUCAGAAACUUCUCAAAUCCAUCUCCUCGGUCUCCAUCACCAGCACAGUGUUUGGUUCCGAUAUUUCAGGGCGCUGUAAAAUACAGUUGUCUCGCUUUUGACAGUUAAAAAAAACCCCACGGACCUAGAAUCUGCAAGGGAAAGUAUUGAAAAUUCUGGAACAGAAAUGUGCAGGUGAAUUGAUGUUGCAUCUCCGUCUCUACUCAUUCAGUUUACAGAAUUAAGAUAGGCUCUUUAAAUAUGACUUGAUAAUGUAACCCACAGCCUCUUAGAAAAAAUUCUAAAAGCUCUUGCACCACAUGCAUAUUUAAAUUUUACUUCUAAAUUAAGCCUUGAAGAAAUAUAGUGCCUGUUUAUGAUAAACUGGAGUUCCGUACAAGUGAAGACUAUUUUGUAGGCAUUUAUAAUAAUAUUAAAUUCUCUACCUAAAACCAGAAGCUGUUUCAUUGAGUAGUUGUCUAUGCUGGAGAGGUUACUGUGCUUUAUGAAAACGUCAUUGGAAAAUAACUUUUACAAAAAUACAAAGAAGACAUGCGAUGAGGUACCUAAAGCUCAGUUCCAACAGGCAAAUAAUGCACCAUGGAUUGUCUUAGCUUUGCGUUUAAUUUUCUGUUUUCUUCUGCUCUGUGCUUUUGGUCUGGCUGCCAUUUACUAGAAUAUAUAUUAGAAAAAAUAAGUGAAUUUAAAAUUGUAAACAGUCAUUAUGUUGUGAAAAAUUCCCUUACUGAGAAUUAUUAAAACAGUCAUGUGCAGACUGAAUUACACACCUAAAGUGAUGGCUUAAAUGAGACCGGGAAAUUUAAAUUAGUAAAUCGAAAAGGUCAGUAUUUAAUUACAUGGUUUGACUAACAGAAUAAAUCUCUUCACCUGUCCUAGUCAUUUUACUAGAUACUAUUUUAGAAAUUUUAUCUCAGUGAAGAUUUGGCCAAGGCCUCCUAAAUUUUUAAGUCGUCUCCCAGGUUUACUAGGAUGAGGUGUCUGAAGUUGCAUUUAAUCCGAUAUAUUGUGCAUGUUUCCUUCAGCCUUUUCUGUUUGGAUGACUGUGGUAUGAAUUUACUUUGAAACAACUCUUGAUCUGGAUUUAAGAUUAUCAAGAGCCUAGCGAUGCAGAAAUGACAUUAACCAUUUAUGAUUCUGCGAUGGUUAAAUUUUCCUCGGAUUUUCCUCAGAUCCGAUGGAGAAGAGAGAGUAUAUAAGAAAAAGAUCCUGGCAUGUUUCCAUUGCUACGGGCUAAGGACACAGGGCGUUUACAGAUUAAAUAGGGCGUGAAUUUUAGUUUAUGUGCCCAUUAUAGCCACUGUGGACAGGAAACAGGAUGCACACAGUGUGAGACAUGACCUGCAGAGUCACUUGAGGCUUGUUCUCUGAGGUUUACCAGGGCCACUGCCAUUAACAGCCUGUGUAAGUAGAAGCCUAAACAGUGUGGUGGUGUUUUAUUUACAUAGCUAAACACUGUAUUAAGAGUGGAUCCUUUCUCAUUCACUUUGUGUAAAUAAUCAUUGAACCUUUUCUCACAAGAAUAUUAAUAUUAAUUAAUCUCUGAGAACUGGCAAUACUUAGGCAGAGCAUAUUACUUUCCAUGGGGUGUUAAAUACAUUUUUAAAGUAUAUUUCUAGUACACAGGGAAAUCUACAUUGUAAGUGAGAAAUCAUAUGAUAUUUAGGAAUGCUGUGAUGGAACUUUUUUUAUAAUGAUUUUUAUUUUUUUCCAUUAUAGCUGAUUUGCAGUAUUCUGUCAAUUUUCUACUGCACAACAAGGUGACCCGGUCACACGUACACGUACACAUUCUUUUUUCUCACAUGAUCAUGCUCCAUGUGAUGGAAAUUUAUUUGACUCUUUCACAUGAUGUUUUUUGAACUGAGAGAGACUUUUAGCUUCUUUCUUUGAAAACUAGGCAGAGGCAAGAACAGGGGUUAGCCUGGAUUAGAUAUUGAGGUCUCCAGCAAUGUGAUAGCAAAUCAUGUUUCUCUUGGUUAGAUGUUACAGUUUGAGGAUUCAUUUUAAAACAGUGAUGGGUAGCUGUGACGAACACAGAUCCUAGUCCAAAUCUGUCCUGAGCUCACGCAUUGCCAGCUGUGUCACCUGCAGGUCACUUCGCCUCACUCUGCUGCCAUGUGCUCAUUUUAUAAAUGAUGGUAAUAAUGGUACAGACAUGAAGAGGUUUUCUUGAGGAUUAAAUGGGUUAAUACAGCUAAGCCAUUACCUCAAAUGGCUUAAAACUUUGCCUGACAUCUUCUAAGAGCUUUCU
rnacentral:lncRNA from 1 species